rnacentral:rRNA from 1 species
GAUCCUUGCGGGAUUAGUGCGCGUACGGGUGAGUAACACGUGGGAACGUGCCCUUUGGUUCGGAACAACUCAGGGAAACUUGAGCUAAUACCGGAUGUGCCCUUCGGGGGAAAGAUUUAUCGCCAUUGGAGCGGCCCGCGUCUGAUUAGCUAGUUGGUGAGGUAAAGGCUCACCAAGGCGACGAUCAGUAGCUGGUCUGAGAGGAUGAUCAGCCACAUUGGGACUGAGACACGGCCCAAACUCCUACGGGAGGCAGCAGUGGGGAAUCUUGCGCAAUGGGCGAAAGCCUGACGCAGCCAUGCCGCGUGAAUGAUGAAGGUCUUAGGAUUGUAAAAUUCUUUCACCGGGGACGAUAAUGACGGUACCCGGAGAAGAAGCCCCGGCUAACUUCGUGCCAGCAGCCGCGGUAAUACGAAGGGGGCUAGCGUUGCUCGGAAUUACUGGGCGUAAAGGGAGCGUAGGCGGACUGUUUAGUCAGAGGUGAAAGCCCAGGGCUCAACCUUGGAAUUGCCUUUGAUACUGGCAGUCUUGAGUACGGAAGAGGUAUGUGGAACUCCGAGUGUAGAGGUG